UACGUAGGCCGCGAGCGUUACUCGGAAUUACUGGGCGUAAAGCGUGCGUAGGUGGUGAGUUAAGUCUGUCGUGAAAGCCCCGGGCUCAACCUGGGAAUGGCGAUGGAUACUGGCUCGCUAGAGUGCGGUAGAGGAGAGUGGAAUUCCCGGUGUAGCAGUGAAAUGCGUAGAGAUCGGGAGGAACAUCAGUUGCGAAGGCGGCGCGCUGGACCAGCACUGACACUGAGGCACGAAAGCGUGGGGAGCAAACAGG
rnacentral:rRNA from 1 species